AUGCUUUGGCAGCACAUUUACUAAAAUCGGAAUGACACAGAGAAGAUGAAUAUGGCCCUACACAAGGAUGAUACACAAAUUCGUGAAGCAUUCCAUGUUUUA
ensembl:snRNA U6 U6 spliceosomal RNA